UACGGAGGGUGCGAGCGUUGUCCGGAUUUAUUGGGUUUAAAGGGUGCGUAGGCGGCCGCGUAAGUCUGGGGUGAAAGCCCGUUGCUCAACAACGGAACUGCCCUGGAAACUGCGCGGCUUGAGUACAGACGAGGUUGGCGGAAUGGGCGGUGUAGCGGUGAAAUGCAUAGAUACCGUCCAGAACACCGAUUGCGAAGGCAGCUGACUAGGCUGUUACUGACGCUGAGGCACGAAAGCGUGGGGAGCGAACAGG
rnacentral:rRNA from 1 species